rnacentral:rRNA from 1 species
UGGGGAAUAUUGCACAAUGGGCGCAAGCCUGAUGCAGCCAUGCCGCGUGUAUGAAGAAGGCCUUCGGGUUGUAAAGUACUUUCAGCGGGGAGGAAGGUGUUGAGGUUAAUAACCUCAGCAAUUGACGUUACCCGCAGAAGAAGCACCGG